rnacentral:rRNA from 1 species
AUUGAACGCUGGCGGCAUGCUUUACACAUGCAAGUCGAACGGUAACAGGCCGCAAGGUGCUGACGAGUGGCGAACGGGUGCGUAAUGCAUCGGAACGUGCCCAGUCGUGGGGGAUAACUACUCGAAAGAGUAGCUAAUACCGCAUACGAUCUAUGGAUGAAAGCGGGGGACCGUAAGGCCUCGCGCGAUUGGAGCGGCCGAUGUCAGAUUAGGUAGUUGGUGGGGUAAAGGCUCACCAAGCCAACGAUCUGUAGCUGGUCUGAGAGGACAACCAGCCACACUGGGACUGAGACACGGCCCAGACUCCUACGGGAGGCAGCAGUGGGGAAUUUUGGACAAUGGGCGCAAGCCUGAUCCGGCAAUGCCGCGUGCAGGAAGAAGGCCUUCGGGUUGUAAACUGCUUUUGUACGGAACGAAACGGCUCUGGUUAAUACCCGGGGCUAAUGACGGUACCGUAAGAAUAAGCACCGGCUAACUACGUG